ACACCUCAUAAUGAGGCAGUUACCUCCUAUCUGCUCGGAGCAAUAACUGCAAGCCUCGAUUUACACUAUAUUGAUAAAGACGACGUUGUGUCCGCCUGUAAGACGUAUUACGAGACGGUACGCAGGAGCUUCAGAUAUAUGCAGCCAGAGAACUCAAUGCGGGCAGAAGCUGCCAAGAAUUCAGCUCGGAGUCGAGCGAGAAGAAAGAGGCUGCAGGAAUCGAGGCAGAGCGUGCUAGCUGAUGAGGAAGUGGAACUCUGGAUGUCCGCCACCGUCGACCUCAUGUCUGACGAGGAAGAUGGCGUCGUUGGCGGGGU